UUCGCACAGGCCACCCGCUUGCUCUCGCUCGCUAACAGCGGGGCCUGCCUCAUCUUCUUCCCCUCCCACACGCCAUGCCAUCCAGCGCGCACGCCGCCGCACCGCGUCCGAUCUUAGCGGGAUCGCAUCCCCAAGGCUUUCCCCUCGCCCACUAUAGCGUCCUAUAAAUACCCUAGGUCUUCCUCUGUCGAUCCCCCUUUAAACCCUCGCCCAAGUCCAUCUAUACUGCACGCUCGCGCCGUUUGGAUCUCCGCCGGAGCCGAAGCCUUCCGCCGUUAGUUUCGACGCCGGUAGUUGCACGACCUCGCCCGCACUUCGCCGGAGUGGGAGCACAUUCGAGCCCAACGACGUCGCUUCGCUCGCAUCUGUCGUCCCCGACCACCAUCUCCUCCACCUCCCGAUCCACCUAGCCGAGCCGCUUCCACCGGACACCACCGCCGACAGCCACAGCCACCGGAGCAGACGCCAUCUUCACCACCGACGCCACCGCCAGAGCUGAAGCUCUCCAAUAUUUCCAUGCUGACGUCCGUCGUCCUAGACCUCUACCUCCACCAUCCCUGACGCGCCACUCCCCGCCGCGCCAGACCGACGUCACCGCUGCCUUCCUCGACCACCGGAGCAUCUCCGCUGACCGCCCCGAGCCGCCCGCCGCCGUCGACCUCGUCAGCGUCCGCCCGCUAUAUUUCUUGAUGAGUAAGAGUUACGAAACAGGGUUACGGUCUACACUCAACCUACCGAUGGCAUUUAUGGGACUCCACACCCGUUUGAUUGUUUCUGCUGAGACUUAUGAGGUCAUCUUCAGAGCUACCGCUUGGAUCCGUACGUGGUCCUUACUCACUCCUAUGGAAUCCAGGGAGCCUUUGGUUACUGGGUGCAACCAGUGGGAGAUAGUAGCACGGUCUAUAUUCAACCGGUUCAGAUGGCGGUCGCAUAACAGGAUAGGAGUCUAGAGAGCUUAUCCAUCUUAUUGCCAUUCCGGUUGUGAUUGUCAGCAUGAACUUUGACUUAUUUUUAUUUUGCGCUCCAUUUGCGAGUUGUAAUACUUUGGCGACUUUGUGAUACUCUGCGAACUUUUAAUAAGAUGGCUGCAUGCAUCAUUAUGAUGCAAGGCCGGGGGUACGCCUCCAUUUCCAAAAAAAUAUCUCCCUGGCCUGUCCUUUUGCUCGGGAAGUUUGGCACUCCUUCCGCAGUAAUGCCGAGAGGGCUGCUGCUAUUGGCUCAACAUCUAUCUCCAUCAAGGAAUGGUGGAGGAAGACCAUUGGUAUUGGGAAGACGCUGGACUCGCACAAGCAGAUCACCACAGCGGCCUACGUCAUUUGGAAGCUUUGGAAGGAGCGCAGCCGACGUACCUUCGAGGGGAAAAGGUGCUCGCCUGAAACUGUCGCCGCCAUGGCUAGAGAGGAGACUUCACUUUUUUGGGCGGCAAACAGCUGAGGUUGUGUGCCCCCUCUUAUUUUCUUUCUUCUCUUCUCUCUAGUUUUUGAUCUGAUUCGAGUUUUGAGGUGCUCUCCCUCAGCUAGCCUCCGGCUUUGAAGAUGAUAUGUGUAUGACACCCUGGGACCUUGGCCCUUUCCCUCUACUUAAUGAAUUGGCAGAACACCUGCCGUUGCUCGUCAAAAAAAAAGUUCGCCGUCAAGUUAGAGUGUUGACAUAAAGAUCUUGUGUAGUUUGUUAUUUAAACCAAUCAUGGCUUGUACUCCCUCUGUUCCGAAAUGUAUGUCGCUGGGGAAUAUGUUCCGACCAGGUGAAAAUGGGCAAAUGGACCUUUAUGCCCCCAGUUCAAACUUUGAAUCAGUCCGUCUUCUUCCUCAGCGUCUUCCACCUCUGCCUCCGCCCCGGCGCUCCACCUCCGCCUCCGCGGCUCCGCCACCCACC